rnacentral:lncRNA from 1 species
CCUCAGACCAUCUCUAGCUGCUGAUUAAGCCAUUACUUGAUGCAUUGUAGCUGGGACUCUGAUUUACUAGGAAAAGGAGUAAAACGAAAAAAGAUGGAAAAUUCUUAAAUGUUUUAAAUGAAGGCUGAAGAGAACCAGUAAAGAAAGAUUUAAAGUAUGAAGGAGCAAUAAUAUGCCCCCACCAAUGUCUUUUCCUACUAAACUCAUCAAAACAAGUCACAGAGAAACAAUGGGCAAAAUGUAUUCACUUUUUAAAAAUCUUCACUUAAUACAUGGUUUUGUUGCAGUGUUCUUUUAUAUAGGAAGUCAAAUUUGUAACUUUUAAAAAUAAAUGAGAUUUUUGUUUAUUUGUUGUCUCGAAAACGUUUACAAAACUCACUGAAAGCAUAAACAAAGAUUUUUUUUGUACAUUUAAAAUAAUUUUAGAAAAACUAUCACAUAUGACUAGGACAUACAUUUACUAUGAAUCACAGCUUAUAUGUACAGCAAAUGUACAAUCCUUUUAAUUUGUCUUCAGUUAAUCU